UCAGGACCAACAGUCAUCACAGUUGAAGGAGGGACUGAUGUAAUGUUACCCUGCUCUCUCAGCACCAAGGAGAACAUUACUUCAAAACUCUUUGACUGGAAGAAAGUUGCUCAGAAAGAUGAUGGUCUGAAGGAGGUGUUCCUGUAUGAUGGAGGCAGUCAUUACAACAACGGUCUAGAUGGUCAGAGUGAAGAGUUCAAAGGUCGAGUCUCUCAUUUUCCAGAUGAACUGAAAGACGGCAACGCCUCCAUAAUCAUCAGAAAUACAACGCUGGUUGACAGUGGAGACUACACCUGUUAUUUUCCAAAUCUUCAGCCACCUCAAACAUUCUACAUUGAUCUUGUUGUUGCAGUGCCAACCUCAGCGUCUCCCAAUGGAUGGAUUGUUGCUGGUGCAGUUCUAGCUGUUGCUGUUGUUGUUAUUGUUCUAGCUGCUGCUGUUCUUCUAGCCAAGUAUAAAAAAGUGAUGUCCAAAUGCAGCUUGUUCCAAAGAGCAGUACCACAGUAAGUGAAGACACCAGACCUGGAUCUGAUUCUGGGAACAGCUUGAAGACCUCUGCCUGAUGACCUGAGAGGCCUGAUGAUCAAUGAUCAAUGACACAGGUAUUGCAACAUGUAUAAUCUCUUCCACUUUAUCAAAUAAUUGCAACUUUUAAC
rnacentral:lncRNA from 1 species